UACGUAGGGGGCAAGCGUUGUCCGGAAUCAUUGGGCGUAAAGCGCGUGUAGGCGGCCCGAUAAGUCCGCUGUGAAAGUCCAGGGCUCAACCCUGGGAUGCCGGUGGAUACUGUCGGGCUCGAGUCCGGAAGAGGAGUGUGGAAUUCCUGGUGUAGCGGUGAAAUGCGCAGAUAUCAGGAGGAACACCAAUGGCGAAGGCAGCACUCUGGGACGUGACUGACGCUGAGGUGCGAAAGCGUGGGGAGCAAACAGG
rnacentral:rRNA from 1 species